GUCAACACGAUUGGCAACACGGCUGAGCGAGGAAACGAACACUGACAUUUCGGACAGCAAGGAGGAAGUGACUUCGAGCAAGCAGUGAUCGUAGUCUGAUAUAAUACGAAUAUAAUUGAUUUUUGUACAAUUAGAUGGGUUAUUGGAUUCUUUAUGCCACUGAUGCUCUUGCCGUCAGUUUGAUUUAAUUACACUAUUUUUUUGAAGUGUAAAUACAUGUACAGCUAUCAAAAAUAGUGUUUCAUUCGGUUCUGUAGGAACAACGGAUGGACGCCAAAAUUGUGCGGAAAUAGAUGAACCGAUUCUAAUAAACAAAGACAUCAUAAUAGAAAGUAGAGUGCCUAUAACCAAAGUGACGACAUCUCAUCCGUAAUUUUGGCAACAAUUCAAAACAUUCCAUUAGCUUUACAUUGAAUUGACAGGUCGUUUGCUCGUUUGGAACUGGGAGCUGUCAUUCCAAACGAACAGCUGUCGCCACUCUGAUUAUAGUCACUCUAAUAGAAAGAGUGACUAUAAGUGACUCUCUCUCUCACAUUCCCGGAAAAUUCAUUGGCAACAUUCUUUUUUGCUAUUAUGGCACCCUCGCACCACUACACACCCACAUAAUUGACAUGAUAGUUAAAUGUGAUGCCGUGCGAUGGCGUUGCUGAACUAAAGAUUGAUGUCGCUUCAAGCUGACAGAGUCUGAAUAAACGUAAGGUGAAAAAUAUAUCCAAAAGAGUAAUAUACUUGAUUGUACUAUA